rnacentral:lncRNA from 1 species
CCGCGAAACUUAACAAUAUUAUUGAUGCAAUUGGACAGUUAGUUAGAGCUAAAGAUUUGCUUUAUUUCGAAAAUAUAGAUAGGCUCAUAAAAGAUAUUAAGAGAUACGAACAAUUUUACAAGUCCUUUAAUGAUAUGGUAAAUCAGCUUUUGGAAAUUUUAGAUGUUGAGUAUCCAGAAAACAUUGUUCCGUCUGUUAAAAGACUUAUUUCUUAUGGUUGAAAUAAAAUUACGUCAGAUGAUCUUAUCAGCACAAUAUAUCAUUAAA